AUCCGCACGAGCGCACCCUUGCCCUAUGUUGCCAGCGGAUAAUGCCGGGGACUCAUGGGGAACUGCCGGUGAUAAACCGGAGGAAGGUGGGGACGACGUCAAGUCAUCAUGGCCCUUACGCCCAGGGCUACACACGUGCUACAAUGGCCGGUACAAAGGGCUGCCAACCUGCGAAGGUGAGCGAAUCCCAAAAAGCCGGUCUAAGUUCGGAUUGUAGUCUGCAACUCGACUGCAUGAAGUCGGAAUCGCUAGUAAUCGUGUAUCAGCAACGACACGGUGAAUACGUUCCCGGGCCUUGUACACACCGCCCGUCACACCACGAAAGUCAGCUGUACCUGACAUCGCUGGAGCUAACCCGCAAGGGAGGCAGGUGCCCACGGUAUGGUUGGUGAUUGGGGGUGAAGUCGUAACAAGGUAGCCGUAGGGGAACCUGCGGCUGGAUCACCUCCUUU
rnacentral:rRNA from 1 species